UACGUAGGGGGCUAGCGCUAUCCGGAAUUACUGGGCGUAAAGGGUGCGUAGGUGGUUUCUUAAGUCAGAGGUGAAAGGCUACGGCUCAACCGUAGUAAGCCUUUGAAACUGGGAAACUUGAGUGCAGGAGAGGAAAGUGGAAUUCCAUGUGUAGCGGUGAAAUGCGUAGAUAUAUGGAGGAACACCGGUGGCGAAAGCGGCUCUCUGGCCUGUAACUGACACUGAGGCUCGAAAGCGUGGGGAGCAAACAGG
rnacentral:rRNA from 1 species